rnacentral:rRNA from 1 species
AUUGAACGCUGGCGGCAGGCCUAACACAUGCAAGUCGAACGAGUGGCGGACGGGUGAGUAAUGUCUGGGAAACUGCCUGAUGGAGGGGGAUAACUACUGGAAAAGGUGGCUAAUAAUGCAAACCAUAAGAUUUGCCCCGAUGGGCUGAGCUAGGUGGUGGGGUAACGGCUCACCAAGGCGACGAUCCCUAGCUGGUCUGAGAGGGUGACCGGCCACACUGGAACUUAGACACGGCCCAGACGCCUACGGGAGGCAGCAGUCGCGAAUAUGCCACAAUGGGCGCAAGCCUGAGGCAGCCAUGCCGCGUGUAUGAAGAAGGCCUUCGGGUUGUAAAGUACUGUCAGCGGGGAGGCGUUACCCUCCGAAAAAGCACCGGCUAACUCCGUGCCAGCAGCCGCGGUAAUAC